GUUUGAAAUAAUAGUUACAAUAGCUGCUAACAGAUGGCGCUGUAAUCGCCAUACGUAAUUCCUAGUAUAAAUAGUGAUCCGAAGCCCAGAGAGAUCAGUUCCACUAUUGAAACGUGAAAGGAGGUUAACGUACCGAAGGAAGAGAUUAAAACCAUGUACUCCAUUGAACAACGCGUUUUUCUGGUGCUAGAGUACCACAGGUUAGAAGAGAGUCCUACGGCAACAAGGCGAAGUUUUCAAGCAUGAUUUAAUGUUCCAAAAGGACCCGAUGCGAAAACCAUUCGUACGCUCUUCGCAAAAUUUCAACGAAUGGGCAGCGUAACUGAUGAUCUAGUGGAGCAUGUUGGCCGCAAGCAAACCGCAGUUACGCCUGAAAAUAUUUACGCCUGAAAAUAUCGGCACAGUUUCUGGAAUUAUUCAGCGAAAUCCAAUGUCAUCCGUCCGUAGAAUUGCAUCUGAGACUGGUUUGAAGCAUUCCAGCACGCAGAAAAUACUGAGAAAGAGCCUACACGUUUCCAUUCAAAAUUCAAACGCACCAGGCCAUACCCGUACGAGCUGUGCAACAAAGGGUUGCCUUUGCUAAUCAGAUGCUCACAAUGAUUGAUAGUGAGGGAUUUGAUGUUGGCUGCAUCUGGUUUACAGAUGAAGCACACUUCCAGCUGAAUGGAUAUGUGAAUAAGCAGAACUGGCGAUUUUGGGGUUCCGAAAAGCCAUAUUGGGGCUGAAGCGAAACCCCUGUAUUCUCCUAAAGUUAUUGUGUGGGGUGCAGUAUGCAGCAGAGGCAUUAUUGGCCCCGUUUUCAUUCGAGAAACGGUCACUGGUGCACGUUACGUUGCAAUUUUGGAACAAUUUGUCGCCACACAGCAAGCGUUAGAGGAUCGACCAGGUACUGAAUGGUUUAUGCAAGAUGGAGCCCGACCACAUCGGACCGAACAAGUGUUUCGCUUUCUUGAGGAAUACUUCGGCAAUCGAGUCAUUGCUUUGGAAUAUCCCAAAUUUACUGGUACAGGCGUGGAUUGGCCUCCAUAUUCGCCGGAUUUGACUCCCUGUGACUUUUUUGUGAGGCACAGUGAAAGACACGGUCUACCCGAAGCAUCCCGCCAUGCUGGACGAGCUUGAAUCGGGGGAUCUCUGUGGCAUGUGAAUCCAUUUCGGUUGAGACACUACGAAAUGUGAUGGCGAAUUUCAUUCUUCAUUUGCGCCACCUCUGUAGUGCCAAUGGUGAACAUUUUGAAAACAUUGUGAUGUGAUUGUUUGCAAAGAUUGUUUUCAUAUGAUUAUUUCAGUUAUGUAUGCUGAUAUGAGCUGUACAGCGUACAGCGCCAUCUGUUAGCAGCUUUUGUAACUAUUAUUUCAAACUGCUGUAUAAACUUCUUACAGCUUUCACAAUAAACAUACCGUUUACUGCAUUCCUCUAUCGAUCUUUGUUUUCGAGAUAUUUAAUUUUGAAAUCAGGGAGUCCUUUUCUGGACACCCUGUAGGUGAUCAUAUCACUGGGCCACAACUACUAACAGGACCGGUCUACCUCACAUAUAGUAGAGAUGUGUUGUCUACCCUGUUGGAUGUAGUGCCACUAAAAUGUUUGGAUGGACACGUGGCUGCAGUACGCCGGAGCUCCGACACACUUCGAUGCCGAUGGGCAGAAUCACCCGAUCAUCGCGUACACUAAUUGACGGAUUGGUAGGGGUGGACUGUUCCGUGGCCAGCAUGGUCGGCAGAUCUGAAACCUCUAGACUAGAUUUUGUUAGGUAAUGUGAAGAGUUCGGUGUACAGUGCACAUGUAACGUCAGCGGAGGACCUUAUUGCUGGAGUCUGCAGAGCGACUUGAGAUACUUGAAAGACAAACGUCCAUAUUGGCUCACGUGUGUGAAUCUCAGCCCGCUGAUGUAGACUCUGCAUUGACAUAGGAGAUACGCAGUGUAAAUCCCGUUUCUAAUGUGGAGAGCAUGACGUGCUACUCGUGUUGGACUGAUUGACAUAAUGUGGAACACAUACCCAUCUCAGUUUUAGACACUUUCCAGCACCCAAGCCGUGUGUUACUGGAUAUGGGUUCCUUCUUGAAAACCGAUCAUUGUGCCUUCCUGCACAACAUACUAAGUGUUACCUAUGUUUUUGGGACACCCUGUAAAUGUUAAGAAAAUACACAGUUCGAUCAUUCGAUCGUUGUGGCUAUUGGCAUCGCGGAGUCCAGAGCAAUUAAAUUGUCCAGUGUGCUGUUCAGUGCGUGUCUCGUGGACAGCACGUCGUUUGAGAAAAUGCUUAAUUUUGUCAUCAUGGCAGUUGGCAUAAUGGAGUCCAAAGCAGUUAAAUUGUCCAGGAUGCUGUUUUGUGCGGUUAGUGGUACAGCCAGUGUGGAGAUGGGAAAUGGUGUGGACACACUGGCCAUUGCAGGAAUACGAACUGUCCGCGGUGACUUCUUACGCAGCCUCAAAUGUGUCGGAGAGUGGCAAGUGACUAGGAACCCAGCCGCUUGGUGCCUGAGGCAGACUGACUUCACUGUGUCCAAAGUGCUGUAGUGGGAAGCAUCAGCUCUUUGUGUUAAGGGUGCAUCUGAAUUUAUGUAUCCAUAUUUGUCCUUGAAAUAAAGUCAUACGCAACUGCUCA